UACGUAGGUGGCGAGCGUUGUCCGGAAUUACUGGGCGUAAAGGGCGUGUAGGCGGGAAUUUAAGUCAGAUGUGAAAGCCCCGGGCUCAACCUGGGGAUUGCAUUUGAUACUGAAUUUCUUGAGGACAGGAGAGGAAAGCGGAAUUCCUAGUGUAGCGGUGAAAUGCGUAGAUAUUAGGAGGAACACCAGUGGCGAAGGCGGCUUUCUGGACUGUAACUGACGCUGAGGCGCGAAAGCGUGGGGAGCGA
rnacentral:rRNA from 1 species